GUAGGGAAUCUUGCACAAUGGGCGAAAGCCUGAUGCAGCAACGCCGCGUGAAGGAUGAAGGCCUUCGGGUUGUAAACUUCUGUUCUUAGGGAAGAAGAAAGUGACGGUACCUAAGGAGAAAGCCCCGGCUAACUACGUGCCAGCAGCCGCGGUAAUACGUAGGGGGCAAGCGUUAUCCGGAAUUAUUGGGCGUAAAGAGUGCGUAGGUGGUUAUCUAAGCGUAAGGUUUAAGCGUGCAGCUCAACUGCAUCUCGCCUUGCGAACUGGACUACUUGAGUGCAGGAGGGGAAAGCGGAAUUCCUAGUGUAGCGGUGAAAUGCGUAGAUAUUAGGAGGAACACCAGCGGCGAAGGCGGCUUUCUGGACUGUAACUGACACUGAGGCACGAAAGCGUGGGGAGCAAACAGGAUUAGAAACCCUAGUAGUCCC
rnacentral:rRNA from 1 species